rnacentral:rRNA from 1 species
CCUGGCUCACGAUGAACGCUAGCUACAGGCUUAACACAUGCAAGUCGAGGGGCAGCAUGGUCUUAGCUUGCUAAGGCCGAUGGCGACCGGCGCACGGGUGAGUAACACGUAUCCAACCUGCCGUCUACUCUUGGACAGCCUUCUGAAAGGAAGAUUAAUACGAGAUGGGAUCAUGAGUUCACAUGUUCACAUGAUUAAAGGUAUUCCGGUAGACGAUGGGGAUGCGUUCCAUUAGAUAGUAGGCGGGGUAACGGCCCACCUAGUCUUCGAUGGAUAGGGGUUCUGAGAGGAAGGUCCCCCACAUUGGAACUGAGACACGGUCCAAACUCCUACGGGAGGCAGCAGUGAGGAAUAUUGGUCAAUGGGCGAGAGCCUGAACCAGCCAAGUAGCGUGAAGGAUGACUGCCCUAUGGGUUGUAAACUUCUUUUAUAAAGGAAUAAAGUCGGGUAUGGAUACCCGUUUGCAUGUACUUUAUGAAUAAGGAUCGGCUAACUCCGUGCCAGCAGCCGCGGUAAUACGGAGGAUCCGAGCGUUAUCCGGAUUUAUUGGGUUUAAAGGGAGCGUAGAUGGAUGUUUAAGUCAGUUGUGAAAGUUUGCGGCUCAACCGUAAAAUUGCAGUUGAUACUGGAUAUCUUGAGUGCAGUUGAGGCAGGCGGAAUUCGUGGUGUAGCGGUGAAAUGCUUAGAUAUCACGAAGAACUCCGAUUGCGAAGGCAGCCUGCUAAGCUGCAACUGACAUUGAGGCUCGAAAGUGUGGGUAUCAAACAGGAUUAGAUACCCUGGUAGUCCACACGGUAAACGAUGAAUACUCGCUGUUUGCGAUAUACUGCAAGCGGCCAAGCGAAAGCGUUAAGUAUUCCACCUGGGGAGUACGCCGGCAACGGUGAAACUCAAAGGAAUUGACGGGGGCCCGCACAAGCGGAGGAACAUGUGGUUUAAUUCGAUGAUACGCGAGGAACCUUACCCGGGCUUAAAUUGCAGAUGAAUUACGGUGAAAGCCGUAAGCCGCAAGGCAUCUGUGAAGGUGCUGCAUGGUUGUCGUCAGCUCGUGCCGUGAGGUGUCGGCUUAAGUGCCAUAACGAGCGCAACCCUUGUUGUCAGUUACUAACAGGUUCCGCUGAGGACUCUGACAAGACUGCCAUCGUAAGAUGUGAGGAAGGUGGGGAUGACGUCAAAUCAGCACGGCCCUUACGUCCGGGGCUACACACGUGUUACAAUGGGGGGUACAGAGGGCCGCUACCACGCGAGUGGAUGCCAAUCCCCAAAACCUCUCUCAGUUCGGACUGGAGUCUGCAACCCGACUCCACGAAGCUGGAUUCGCUAGUAAUCGCGCAUCAGCCACGGCGCGGUGAAUACGUUCCCGGGCCUUGUACACACCGCCC